GAACCAAGUUAAACUCAAAGAGAGUGAGUGAGCGAGUGUUGCACAAACAACAUGUCUGCCUCUGUCAUGGCACCUUUGGCUCCGAAACCAUCUCCCUCUCCUCUGUUACAACGAUCCAAGCUUCGAGGCCUGCGACCAUCGGCGAGGCCAAGGCCGUCGUUGCUCAUAGUGGCCAAGAAGGCCAAGACUGCCUAACCCUACGGGCCUGGUGGUGGAGUGGUGUUCAAGGAAGGCGUCGAUGCGUCUGGAAGGGUAGCCAAGGGGAAGGGUGUUUACCAGUUUGCCGACAAGUAUGGAGCAAAUCAGGGUAAGAUACAUACCGGGAGCACCCCAGCCUCCUCAGAGUUUAGCGAUUCCCGGCCGUCGGAUAAAAAUGCAACACUGUGGAUCGAAACAGUGUGCGCCCCGAGCUGCCACCGCGCGUAAUUCCUAGAUCCCUCCGAGGGUAUUCUGGUCAUUUCGCAUACGACUAUAAAUAAACGGCGGCUCCCGUGCUAAAACCUAGCCGCCGCCUCCUCUUCCCUCGCUCGCUUUCACUCCUCCCGCAGCCGCCUCCCUCCGUUCCUCGCUCUCACUGUCGAUCCCGUCUCCCCUAUCCUCCCCGUUCAUCCCUAGCCCGGCGCCGGCGGCGGCGAUCGCCGUUCCAAUCUCCACGGCCCCUCCUUCUCCACCGUGGCCCGUUACGUCAUCAGCAACCUCUCGCCGGUCUGGUUCGAGCCGCUCCGCGCCACCCAGCCCCGACCCCUUUCUUCCAAGCCGGCGCGGCCACCGUUGACGGCGAGGAUCAAUACCGGCCGCAGGAGGAGCAGGAGCGCGGCGGGAAGGAGGAGGAUGAUCAGGGGAGGCCGCGCCACCAUCCACCGCCGGCUGUCGACACCUCCUGUUCGACCACACAGAGGAAUCACCGGACCGUCGUCCUUGCGUUCCUUCUCCUCCAGGAAGAAGACGACCCAAGGUGAGCCACCUUCGAUCCAUCUCGCGGAGUCAGCGGGGACUCCAACCUGAGGCUCCAUGGCGGCGGCCAGCGAGUUCAUAUCUCCCUCGACGAGAGGAUAGGCUCCAGGUUUGCGUCACAGGGCGUGUAGCUCCACGGCUUCUUCAGGGCCAGCAUCAAGCUGCCCUCUGAGACUACGCCGCCGGCGUCGUCGUCGCCUUCUACACUUUGGCGUCCGGUACAUGUCGAACGACGAGCUGGACUUGAGUUCCUUACAGAGGUGCAUGGGAGUAAGCUCGAGCUGCAGACGAGCUCAGACUCCAUAGGAGGAGCGUGUUCUGCUGCGCCUUUCCCACCUCCUCGGCGCACAGGGGGAUGGCUAGCUCCGCGCAGCAGUAGGGGGUUGAUCACAAGAUACUAAAGGAUUUCUCUAUUAGUAGAGGUCUGAAGGUUCGAGAAGGGACGAAAGAUGAAGAAUUUGCCUGCAGAAAAUAUUGAACAAAAAGCUCCAGAUGGCUUCCUAGGGGUGAUGCGCUUCAGAUUGAGAUUGGGAUGUUGGCUUUCUCUAACCUGCCUUCCUUGAGUCUGAAGUUGGGUUCACAAGCAAGCAGGCUGUAGAGGACAUGGCACUGGCCGUGUUCAACCGUGCCCUGAAGCUUUCUGGAGUAGGUCUGUGCCUCUGUGUGUGUCUUCUCUAACUUCAUAUCGCUGGAUCUAUGGAUCAUUCUGCACGUUGGGCUUGUUGCUGGCUGCUAGCCUGGCUUGUAAGAGGAUGCUCCCCUGCUCUGAGUCCAAGAUACUGAGGGAAAGUCUAACAUAUCCAGAGGCACCAAUUGGGAGAGGUACAACAUAUGCAUUUCAAAGAGAACUGGACUCCGCUAUUUCUGACUUCACCAAGGUUGAAAUUUUAAAUUCAGAAUUCAGAACAUUCCCUUUACCUUUGUGUAAAAUGACCUUAUGAUCUUACUCUAAAGGGAUGAUCAAUUCAUGUUGUCUUGCAUUUCAGUAGUAAAGCGUUAUAGGUAGGUUGUUAGAGCACACUCUGAAUUCCACCAAUUUCUUUCCAUGGCUUAUAUGUGACCAAAUGCUCCAGAUUGUAUAUGACAUCCUUUUGUUUACACAAGCUUAACUGUUUCCUGUGAGGCAGCUACUGAGAGUGAUGAAUAUAGCAUUGCUUGGCAGUUGUGCUUUAGUCAUUGGUAUGAUAGAAGCAUUACAUAGUGCAUUGGUGAUAAAACUAUUGUUCUCUCAAACUGGUAAUAUUGAUCUGUUCUCUUGAAUGAUGUAAACUUAACGGAUCUUAUGUCUUUCGUGAUAGUUCACAAUAUUCUCUUAAUUAACAUUCUGAGUAUAAUAUCUUAAACAAUUUGGUUAGAAGUAAACUGGGAUGAAAACAUGUGUAGUUAAAUAUGAAUGCAUAUGUUAUUUCGAGUUAAAUUUCAAUCCACAUACCGGCUGUUAAGAAGUAUUACAUUAUUUUUAUUUUCUCAAUUGUAUGGAAGUGUUAGUUCUUUCCAGGUCUUUGGAAUAACAAUUGUACAUUUUCUUAUUCAUGCUAUUUGGACCAAAUUUGUAGAAUCGUUAAAGUCUCAGCUAGGAUUUUAACCUGGUUACCUGGUUCUGCCUAAUCUUCUCUUUAUUUUGGCUAUGGUUGUCGGUGUAAACUAGGAACUGGUUAUAUGCACAUGUUUUUAAUGUUUCAGACGUAGUAUAUAGCAGAUAGUUUGCUCUGUGCCACUUUCCUUUUCCAUCUCUUCUUACAGCCAAUAUAUAUGUUUCUUGUGCCUAUGGUUGGUGAGCUCAGAAAGACAGCAAACCAAAGGCAUGUUACAUAAUUGUGUACUGUUUUGGUAAAGUCUGCGUGUGUGAAUUUGAUUAUGAGAGGCAAGAGUGCCAUGUUGCACGGGCCAAAUAUUUUCCCACGCGUGGUAGUUUGUCAACAUUUUUCCGAAAUCACGAAUGAAUUUUAAAAACCAGAAUUUAAGAUAAAUAAGUAAACCUAUACAAACACAAAGAAAGUAAAUGAGAAACAGGAAAAAGAUGGAAGAGAACUUCAUGGGCCGGCCCAAAAGUCACAGCGGCGCUCCACCAUUGAGCCUACCUUUGAGAAGGCCGUUGGGCAAGGCUAUUUCGGUCAUCUUCCUGUCUGAUCUUCCUGUCUGAUACAUAGGUCAAACCUAGAAGGAUUUACACGUUCUCUCUCCGACAUUUUCCUUUGCUCAUGCGAAUACAUCGUCUUCUCGGCGCGGCGGCGCCGCCUUGGAUCAGACCUCUGUUGCGCCUCUUCGAUUAUCCCUUCGGAACUCAGCUCCAGCGACCAGGUCACUAUGGUGGAAGAAGAGCUCCAGGUUCACGGCUCGCCGGGUUCCGCUUCCCCCACUAACAGCUGUCUGCGAGCACUUGCCUAGGUCAAUUCAACUUUAUCACCUUACCUUUCCUGGAAAGAAGUUGAUCGACAAGGCAGCUGAACGGAGCCACUUAUUAGUAUGUUUAGUAGUUAUGGCUCCGUAGUUGGCUCUCCUUUAUUAUGUUCUUGGUCUUAUUACUUCCUCUCCUGUAUUCUCGCUUUUGGUAUCGAAUUUCAUGUCGAGUGGCUAUCUUUUGUGCUCUUAUGAACGUUCUUAACUUGAUGCUGGCUUAUACUUGAUGCUAGCUUAUAAUCUGAUGACGAUAUUGAGCUCCACUA